rnacentral:rRNA from 1 species
GAGCGGCGAACGGGUGAGUAACACGUGAGUAACCUGCCCCUGACUCUGGGAUAAGCCCGGGAAACUGGGUCUAAUACCGGAUACGACACCUCCUGGCAUCGGGUGGGUGUGGAAAGUCUUUUCGGUUGGGGAUGGACUCGCGGCCUAUCAGCUUGUUGGUGGGGUAAUGGCCUACCAAGGCGACGACGGGUAGCCGGCCUGAGAGGGCGACCGGCCACACUGGGACUGAGACACGGCCCANACUCCUACGGGAGGCAGCAGUGGGGAAUAUUGCGCAAUGGGCGAAAGCCUGACGCAGCGACGCCGCGUGGGGGAUGACGGCCUUCGGGUUGUAAACCUCUUUCAGCAGGGACGAAGUUGACGUGUACCUGCAGAAGAAGCGCCGGNUAACUACGUGCCAGCAGCCGCGGUAAUACGUAGGGCGCAAGCGUUGUCCGGAAUUAUUGGGCGUAAAGAGCUCGUAGGUGGCUUGUCACGUCGGGUGUGAAAGCUUGGGGCUUAACUCCAGGUCUGCAUUCGAUACGGGCUGGCUAGAGGUAGGUAGGGGAGAACGGAAUUCCU